rnacentral:rRNA from 1 species
AGAAUGAACGCUGGCGGCGUGCUUUACACAUGCAAGUUGAGCGAGGCCGGUAGCAAUACCGAGUCGAGCGGCGAACGGGUGAGUAACGCGUGGAUAACCUGCCCUGAGGUGGGGAAUAACCCGGGGAAACUCGGGCUAAUACCGCAUGAUACCUAGCGGUCAAAGGGGGCUCGCAAGAGCUCCUGCCACAGGAGGGUCCGCGUUCGAUUAGCUAGUUGGUAGGUAAUGGCCUACCAAGGCGACGAUCGAUAGCCGCCUGAGAGGGUGAUCCGGCCACACUGGAACUGAGACACGGUCCACGACCCCUAGGGAGGCAGCGAGGUGGGGUAAUUUGACGCAAGUGGGACUAACGCCUGACGCACGCAACGCCGCG